UAUGACCUCACCAUGUCAAACGAUUUGCCAGC
rnacentral:piRNA from 1 species